CUCAAACUCCUGACCUCAAGUGAUCUUCCAACCUUGGCCUCCCAAAGUGCUGGGAUUACAGGGGUGAGCCACCAUGCCUGGCCUACUGUACCUACUUCUGGUGAUAGAUAGAAAUAAUGCACUUUGUGUGUAUUACUUAGCACACAAAAAAACGGAAAGGUGGGUCCCUGAAUUCUGGAAAUCCUCACAAAGACUCCUGUGAGAGGAAUGUUGAAUUUUCUUUCUACCCAUCACCAGAAGUAGGUAGAGUCUGGGAGGCUAGUUUCUUACCAGGAAUGUCUAUAGGAAACUAGAAAAUGGGCUAUUCUUUCCCAAAUAUUUGUUUAAUCAUCAAGCCAUGGAGUGUCAUUGGUUCAUUCUGCCAUAUAGCUUGAAUAGUUGCUAACUCUAUUUAUUUAUUCAUUCAUUCAUAAAAUGUUUAUUAGGCCUUUUUAUGUACCUGACACAUUUAUAUUACACCUACUAGUUAUAAAACCCCAUGGAGUCAAUAUUAUUAUCUCCAUUUUACAGAUGUAGAAAUGAAGCUCAGUGAGGUUACAUAAUUUGCAUGAGAACACCCACUUGGUAAGUGACAGAGGAAGAAUUUAAACCUAUGUUGUUCUGACUUCCAACUUCUAGUAAAAAUGUAGGCUGUGUUGUGGAAGGAGGGGAGAGCUAAUAUUUCUUUAGUACCUAUUAUGCCCCAGGCACAACCUGAUAUACUUUAUUGACAAACUUUCUUCAAAUUAGAUUAAAUUGUGACCUCUCAGAAAAGCAAAAAUGAAAGAAAUACAAAAUUGUUUCCAUAAGAUAAAACUAUAGUGCUCAAACAAGAAGAAGGAGGACUAGUUCUUUCUAAAACUUGUAUGGAAAUGCAAAGGACCUAAAAUUGCCAAAAUAAUUUUGGAAAAAGAAGAACAAAGUUGGAGGACUUACACUAUCUGAUUUCAAAAGUUGUUUUAAAGCCACAAUAAUUAGAUACAAAAGGAUAGACAUAUAGGUCAAUGGUAAAGACUAGAGUCCGGAAAUAAAUUCUCACAUUUGUGGUUAAUCGAAUUUUGAAAAGGGUGCAAAGAACAAAAGGGUAGCCUUUUUAACAAUGGGGGAAAGAAGAGACUUUUCAAAAAUGGUGCAGGAACAAUUGGAUGUCUGUAUACACAAACAAACAACAGCAACAAUAAUAAAGUGUUUAGAUUUUUACCUCACACCAUAUGUAAAAUAUAACUCAAAAUAUACCAUAGAUCUGCAUGUAAGAACAAAAGCUAUGAAUCUACUCAACAAAAUCAGUAGAAAAAUCUUUGUGAGCUUAGGUUGGGCCAAAGUUUCUAAGAUGUGAGUUGCAUAAAAGAAAAAAUAGAUGUUAGCCUUUAUCAAAAUUAUGAACUUCUGCUCUUUUAAUGACAUUGUUAGGAGAAUGGAAAGACAAGCCACAGACUGGGAGAAAAGAUUUGCAAAUCAUUUAUCUUUGAUAACGGACUUGUAUCUAAAAUACAUAAAGAAUGCUUAUGACUCAAUAAUAUGACAAGUCAAUAAUAAGCAAAAUGUGUAAACAAUUUAAACAUAUUUACCAAAGAAGAUACAUGAAUGGAAAAACAAAAACACAUGAAUAGAUGCUUGUCAUUAAUCAUUAGGGAAAUGCAUACAAAGCCACAGUGAGAUACCAGUACAUAUCCACUAGAAUGUCUAUAAUCAAAAAGAUGGUCAAUACCAAGUGUUGGAGAGAAUAUGGAGACACUGGAGCUCUCAUAUGUUGUUGGUAAGAAUGUAAAGAUGGUAGUUUCUUUGGAAAGCAGUUUUGUAGUUUUAAAAAACUUAAAUUUACUGUAGAACCCGGCAGUCCUACUUCUAGGAAUCUAGUAAAAAGACAUGAAAGUACAUAGCCACACAAAGACUUGUAUAUAAAUGCUUAUAGCAGCUUUAUUCAAUAAUAACCCCAAAGUGUCAACUGAUGACAAACAAAAUGUGGCAUAUUCAUACUGUGGAAUACUACCCAGCAAGGAAAAGGAAUGAAAUAUUAAAACAUGCAAAAACAUAGAUAAAACUCAGAAACAUUAUACAAAGUGAAAGAAGUCAGAUACAAAUGACUGCACAUCGUGUGAUUCAAUUUACAUGAAGUUUCUAGAAAAGGCAAACCUGUUGGCUGGGUGUGGUGGCUCAUGCCUGUAAUCCGAGCACUUUGGGAGGCCAAGGUCGAUUACGAGGUCAGGAGUUCAAGAUCAGCCUGGCCAAGAUGGUGAAACCCCGUCUCUACUAAAAAUACAAAAAUUAGCCAGGUGUGGUGGCAGGUGCCUGUAAUCCCAGCUACUUGGGAGGCUGAGGCGGGAGAAUCGCUUGAACCCGGGAGGUGGAGAUUGCAACGAGCCGAGAUCACGCCAAUGCACUCCAGCCUGGGUGACAGAGUGAGACUCUGUCUCAGAAAAAAAAAAAAAUGAAAAGGCAAACCUGUAGCUUGAGGUUGAGUAUGGGGAUUAACUGCAAACAGGUAUGAGGAAGUUUUCUGGGGUGUAGAAAAUGUGCUCAACCUGGAUAGGGGUGAUGCUUAUACAGAUGGCUUAGUUUACUAAAAUUAAUCAAACUCCACACCUGAAAUAGGCGAAUUUUAUGGUAUCUAAAUUAUACCUCAAUAAAGCACUUAUAAAAUGCAUUGCAUUUAACCAGCCAUCUUAUUCUGUCUGAUAUAGCUUUCCCUCCAAUACUUGACAUGUCAGGCACUUACGACAUUUUGGAUUAGUAGUCGUGUAGGAACAUAUUUGCAAGUGUGUUGCUACUUGUUGUUGCCUUCCAAUUGCUUCCCUUAGGAAUGUUCUAAACUAUGGAAGGAAAAGGAUGUACAUAGAUACUGCAGAGUUCUACAAAAGAUGAUUUCUUAAGAGACACAUUUGGAUAAUUGGAGGAGAAAUCACUCAAGGUCUAUUGACACAGUAGAGAAGGCUGUUCUUUGCACCUCUGAUUCAGGGAGUGAAGACCUGUUUUCCACCAACUGUUACAGAAGAAACUUAUGCAACAGAAAAUUCAAUGUCCAUGCUCUGGGAAGCUUAUGAAGAAACUAGUAGAUUCUUGAACAACAAUAACAACAAUAACAGUAAUAAGACAUCACCAGUUGCUGAGGUGGUACUUCUGUCUGGGUUCUGGCCCCAUAGUUUUUGUUCCAGAGGAUAAAAGAGGUGUCCCUCAACCGCCUUUCUUUGCAGCCCUCCCUCUGAGGGCAAAAAAAUGAUCCCAAAGAACAAAUUUGAUCCUGUCACUCCUCUGCUUAAACCUUUCAGACAAUCCUACUCAAUAAUCUAUUGCAAUUUCCUCAAACUUUAGUCAAAAUAUAUAUAUUUUUGCCUUAUCCCAGUGCCAUUUAUACACUUUCUACUUAAAGCGUGCUCUUUGGACCACCCUCAUGGGCAGCAUCUGGGAGCUUACCACAAAUGCGGAGUCUCAGGCUCCACCCCGACCUCCCCUCAACAGAAUCUGCAUUUAAACAAGAUACUCAGAUGGUGUGUAUGCAUAUUAAAGGUUGAAGGACACAGUCCUACACUUUCUAGAUAUAUAUUUUUUAAUUGGCAUUCUUCUAAAAAUGCAAACAAAUCUCUUUAAAGACAACUAUAUCACUAAUACAAGUGAAAAGCCAGUGCCAUUUUCUAUAAAUAGCAUAUUAUCUAUAAAAGUAAAUACAAUAAACAUAAAACAACGUGCCAGGAAAAAUUAUGAAAGACAUUAAAAUGGGCAAAAAAUAAGGUUACUGGGUAUCUUGUCUAUUGCACCCUUCUGGGUUAUUUGUUCUUUUAAUUGUUCUUGAGCUAUUUAUAAGACUUUAAGUUAUAGAAAACUUAUGUGUAAAUAGACUUACACAAUACACAUCUUACCAAUAGGAGAGCCAAUGAGUUUUAGCUGAUGGAAUGGAAUUGCUUACUGCUCUGUUGAUAUUGAUCAGUUUUGCCUCUAUUGGUAAAUUCAUCUCAGCAUUCCUUAUCUGCCUCUUUAUGUGUGUGUUACUUGAAUUCUCCUUUGAACUGGUUGUAACAUCUUACUUGUUCACUCAUUAAUAAGUUAAAUAAAAUCAUUAACACAUGUUCAUUUUAUAUUUGUAUGAAAGUUAUGAUUUUAUCUUUUAAAAAUUAUCCUUUGACAAACAUAAUUUUCAACUGUAGCUAGAUACUGAUGCCUUCCAACAAUUCUAAGCCUGAGGCCAAUCUUUGUCUGAUAAAGAUGGAGAUGAGCACAUUUUUCAUAGGUACUUAUUCAUUCAGCAAAUAUCUUUUGAACAUCUGCUGUGUCCUGAACAUUGUUCACUUUAACAGUUGGGAAUUAUUCAGGUGUGAAAAAAAUGUUAAAAAUUCCUGGCCUUAAUGAGCGUAUAUUCUGGUAGGGAUAGAUACAUACUAAACAAAAUAAAAUUGAAAAUUAUGUAGUAUACUAAUUGAUGAUAAAUGCUAUUGGGAAAAAUAAGUCAAGGAUGGAGUUAUGAAGGGGAUUCAAUUUUAUGUAACUGGUGUCAGGGAGGGCAUCCCCGGGAAGACGACAUGUGAACCAAGACUUGAAGAAAAUAGGGGUGUGAACCACAGGUAUCCUGGGAAGGGCGUUCCAGGCAGAGAGAAUGGAAAGCGCAAAGGUCCUGAGUAGGAAUGCGCUUGUUGGGUUCAAAGACUAGGAAGGAGGCUAAUGUGACUCUAGUAGAAUGCAUGAGGGAAGGAGACAAAAUGAGCUCAGAGAUGUCAUUGGAAGUCAAGUUGUUGCAAGGCCUUGUAGGUCAUUGAAAGGACUUCAGUUGUUAUUCCAAGUGAGUUGAGGAGCAUGUAUUAGGGCUCUGCAGAGAAACAGAACCGAUAGGAUAUAUAUAAAAAUAGAGGAGCCAAGAAGUCUCACAAUCUUCUGUUUGUAAGCUGGAGAACCAGAAAAGCCAGUGGUGUAAUUCAGUCUGAGUCUGAAGGCC
rnacentral:lncRNA from 1 species